AAGACCCACAUUUCUGUGCUGCUGGAGGCUUUUACUUAACUCCUGCGUCAGCUGAGCAGCAUACAAGCUCAAUGGCAAAGUGACCUCUGCCUGGAAACCCAGCAUGAAGGGACUUCUCAUCUCGGGGCUUGCCCUCAGCUGUUUGAAAAUAUUUUAUGAGACUCUAUGACCAGUAUGCAUUGACGGAAGGAUGUGCUCUUUCUGAGAGGGUCAGAACUAGAGGUGGUGGAGUGAACACCACGCCAGGCAAUGGAAGAAGCACUGGCCUAGACCAAGCUUGAGCGUGCACCCCUGUCACCUGGAGGCUUGUUCCAACACAGAUGGCUGGACCCAUCCCCAGAGUUUCAGAUUUAUUAGGUCUGUGCUGGGCCCUGAGAAUGUUUGUUUAAAACAAAUUCCUGGAUGCUACUGGUUCAGUUGCCACACUCUGAGACCCACGGGCCUUGAGCUUAGAAGAUGUGGGUUUAAUUCCUGGAUUCCACACUUUACUAGCUGUGACUUGGAGAAUUUAAAUUACUUACCUGAGUCUUGGUUUCUUAUUUGCAAACUGAACUGUAAACUAUCUGUUCUACCCAUUUUAUAAGACUUUUGUAAGGAUAAAAUAAAAGAAUACAUAUGCAAAUUAUUGAAAAA